GGCUUUUGUUAAUAUGAUAGAUUGCUUUUUCAUUAAGAUGUUCCAGUCAUUUUACGUAAUAAAUUGCCUCUCUCGUCUCUCCCCCCCCCUCGCCCCUCGCCGGCCGUCUCUCGUUUCAGCUUUGACUUUUUUCCAUCCCGUGCUUUUUCCUGCCCCGAGUCUGAUUUGUAGCCUUUGUAGCGACAGGGAUUGGAUUUAACAGGCUGCGCCUCGCCUUAUCCCUUUGAGACGAUCAAAUAAAAGGGCCACCGUCGUGCGGGUGCCUUUGUGAGCAAACUGUGAUCCGAUCCGAAUUUGUACGACUAAUGGAGCUUUUGCACAAUCAAUAAGAGUGAACUUCGAAGAAUAAUACCAUCUGAUCGCGAGCGUUCCGAAAUAUAUUAUGUUCCUCAUCUGCAGCUUUAUCAGCGGGACAGUAGUGGGUACAGUGGGAUAUUUCAUUAGCACUUGGUCCUUACAUCCGUCUUCCGUCCUAGUCAUAAAUAAACCCUCAUAAUGCUUCUAAAAUUUUCUUGACUGAUGAAUAAUGGAUCUAUAAUUUAAACAUUUUUCUCAAGUUCUCAAGAAACUGCUUCACAAGUGUCUUCAUCAAUGAGCAAAUUCAAAAUCCGGAGUGGCCAACGACGGUGAAUGCUUUUUGACAGAGAGACGCUGAUGAUUCACAUUCUUUCAACAACGACAGGUGUAUGGUCCGAUUUGCAGCGGAAGAAAAAAUAAACCACCUGAGCAUAUUUGCAGCCAACAUUUUUCAUCGUGCUUUGCGACAUCACUAUGCUGUCUAUCUUAAUUGGCGGUCACGAGCUGUCAUCUACCGUGCUAUGUCGUGAUUGAUAACUAGAUAAGUCAAUGGACUUGCUCCAACUGUAUAUUUUGGUCGAUUAUUGCUAUAGAAUAGAGUGUCAUCGACCGGAUACUAUUUACAAUGCUCAAGUGAGCUGACCUUGGGGCCCAACAUAGACCUGGGGCAAGUGCAUUGACUUAUCUAUCACAAUAGCAGAGAGCAUAAUUUUUGUGUUCUUUAUAGUUACGGUAUUAUUAUUACGCUAUCAGAGUCCACUUAGGACGUACCUUAAAUUAUAACAUGUAUUGUAUAUUUCCUUUACAUGUACUGUAAAAUGUAUAUUAAAUGUUUUUUUCUUCAAACAUUCA